ACCCAGCUGACGAGUCCUAAACAGGACGAAACACUCCUCCUGAAU
rfam:Schistosoma mattheei strain Denwood, Zambia genome assembly, scaffold: SMTD_scaffold0020932